GGACGUGAGAGCGGUGUGGCUGCAGCAACGUCUGUUCCCGUGCUGACGGCAGGGUUGAGGGCCGUUCUGGCUGCCGGGCGGGGCUCCCUUCCUCCCUCACCGCUGCGUGUGCUGGGGGAAUGGGACUGUGCUCCCCCGCUAGGACCUCCAAACCAGCUCUCGUACCCACCUUGUGGUUUCCCACUGGAUCAGUAGCACCUAAGCCUCCAUACUGUGCUCUUAUUCAUUGACUAUGCAUAAUUUU
rfam:Heterocephalus glaber contig238398, whole genome shotgun sequence.